UGGGCUUCCUGCUUCCCAGGGGCUGCCCUGGCCCGCAGGGCAUUCCCGGCACCUGGGGGCUGCAGGCCCUCUCGGAUACCGCCGGCGAUCUGCCGUGGGAAAGACCAUUUCUCCAGCAGCCCAGAGAAACCAGAGUGGGGAAGAACCUCCUGUUUCGGCACGUGCUUCUUCCCAAGCGCUUCCUGCAGCGCUUACCAGGCCACUUCCCACCCCGGGGUGUGCUCCUGCCUCUCUCCAUAAGCACAGGCACAUCCCGCAGGGCGCGUGGUGGUUGGUGGCUGGUGCAUUCCUCAUUAAGGCCCAGGAUGAAGUCGCCGGUAUACAUUUGGCUGUUUGAUUAGGGACAUACCAGAUGCUGAUCUGCCAUAUAUGUUGCUGAUUUAAACAUCCAGGUUAUCCGAAACCCCACAAACGUGCAAGAUAUUAAAAAAGCCGUUGGCUGCAGCAAGUCCUGGGGUAGACUUUGUGUAACAGUUUGGGAGUCAUUUGGUAGCUUCAGAGUUACAGCACAUUUUCCCUCUGCCCAAAUAUAGUGCCUAAAUUUUUCAACUUUCCAAGAAUAAGUACAAAUAGUUCUGAGUUAAUAUUUUGUAACUUAAGAUGAGGACGGAAACAUACAAUGCGAGUUUGGGCUUGUUGAUCAAAGACUAUCUAAGACUUUGCACUCGUCUUUUCAUGUGAAAAAGUCCUCUAAGAAACACAUGGGCAAUGAAUGUAACUUGAAAAGUAUCUCACUACAGAGAUAGAGCUCAGCCAAAGAAAUAGUAGCCACUCAGUCCUUAGACAUCGACCCCUCCUAAGCUAUAUCUUGAGUAUUCAGUUUGUUGCACGUGUGGGGAACUUGCCUAGAAAUGCAGUCUUUGACCUGCACAUAGCAUGUGGGUCACUUAAGUAGUGAAUACACCCCCAAACAGAGAAGCUUUUACUUUUCUAAAAAUCACCGUGUUUUUCUUGGAGAAAUGAUGUGUCAGUGUAGAGUCUUGGAAAAACUUUGGAAGAGGAAGCAAAGAUGUGAAUGAAACAGCUCACACAGCUCUUAUCUGCUGAGAGCCAGGCUGUUGACAGGAGGGCAUUGGCCAAGUAAUCACGAUUGUGUUUCUGAGGACGAUGCCUCUGUUCCCUCCAGGGUGACCCUCAGUUCUGUUAUUUUUCACUUUUGCCCCUCUCUAGAGAAACCCUGGGAAUACAGGUCUUCCAGAUGUCAUCAACAGAGUCCUCCAGUGGCCGGCACUAAUCCCAAGUUUCAAAUGUAUGCAUAGUUCCCAGUAUAAAAAUAGGAAAUGUCAAGUUGAGAGGGAGAUGUUCCAAACCUCUCUACCAGGGAUGUCAGAAUACCCCUGACCGAACAGUGAGGUGUAGGUGGAACAAGUGAAGAUGAAAGCACAGAGACUAUAGUUCACAGUUGAAUUAUUUAUUGGGUUUUGCAGAUGACUGAACCCCGUUAUAGAGGAUUUGAGAGGACUGCGUAAGAAGGAGUGAAUACCCCGAAGCCUGGCAGCUGUGGUGUGCCAUGGACAUGCAACCCUCACCCUCUGUGAAGGUCAUUUAUCUGUACUUCUCAGUCAGAACAGAGGAAACACUGGACAAGAACUUGUCCCAUGCAGCAUGAACUUCUGGGGUGAAAUCACUGGGAUAGCGAGCAGCCACAGUACACAGGAUACAGUGGGAAAGCAGCUGUAAGGGAAAACAGGAUAAAAUACAUUGUAAUCGGUUACAGACUUCAGUCCAGGAAUCUAUAUCAAACUUUACUCCCAGCCUGCUCUGGGAUGACGAAUACAUAUCCCAGGCAGUUAACACUGCUGCCUUAUACUAAAGUGUGAAGAAGCAGAGUUGCCUUUUGUACAGGGAAAAAGACACUGCUUAAUACCGCUCUCUCUUUCCAGAUGUCGCUUUCUCUUUCACCAAAGGGAAAUAUAAGAAAAAUGGCAAUAUUGCUUAGAAUUUACUAAGGCUUCAUUCAAGAAAGUUGAUAUUAUAAUCUGACUUGUGAGGAAGAUUCAUAAAUUACCACAAAGGCAGCAGGAACUCAGGUCUGUCUGACACAGACCACAGGAGCUCCCUUAAUAGUUCUUUGCUUGAGCUAGAGCAGAUCUUUUAUGAAAAGAUCCAAUCUCAGGUUAAUAACCAGAUGGUGAAGCAGCAACAUGAGUUGAUAAGGCUGUACAGUGCAGUCAGGGAUCAAACUUCCAUUAGCUGUAAUGAUCUCUAGUCUCUAAUUUAGUGACUGGCAGUUUUCAUCCCUGAAAGUGUCUGUGUUCACUCACCUUGAAGUUCACUGGGUCCACCCGAAGGAUGUAAGCAUGCAGCUCGCUGAGUUUGGCCAAAGCGCCUCUAAUGUCAUCAACGUUCUUCACGGCUUCCCCAAUAGCAUUCAGGACCUUGGAGCCAUGACCACGAAGCUGAACAGAACCUUGGCUGAGAUCAAAAUGUGGGAAGUAGGUUUUCGUCUGGGGGUAGCUGGAGAAAAGCCUGGAGGAGAACAAGAGAAUUAAAUUCAGCAACAUAAAUUAUAUGGAGGAUCUGAACUUCAGCACAAGAAUGCUGUAAGCCCAUCAGCUGCAGCAGUACACUUACUCAGCUUUUGCAACAGAGCUUUGGAGGCUUGAAGGUCGCACUAAGAUCUGCACUGUUUCUGCUCUUAAAACGCUUCUGUAGUAGGUACAGAUUAGCUAGUGGUCUAAAUCUUUUUAAACUUAAUGUUUUAUUAAUAAAUAAUGCACCCAAA